ACAUCCAGCGAACUUUCCAGAGAUGGAUUGGUGCCUUCGGGAACGCUGAGACAGGUGCUGCAUGGCUGUCGUCAGCUCGUGUUGUGAAAUGUUGGGUUAAGUCCCGCAACGAGCGCAACCCUUAUCCUUUGUUGCCAGCGAUUCGGUCGGGAACUCAAAGGAGACUGCCGGUGAUAAACCGGAGGAAGGUGGGGAUGACGUCAAGUCAUCAUGGCCCUUACGAGUAGGGCUACACACGUGCUACAAUGGCGCAUGCAAAGAGAAGCGACCUCGCGAGAGCAAGCGGACCUCAUAAAGUGCGUCGUAGUCCGGAUCGGAGUCUGCAACUCGACUCCGUGAAGUCGGAAUCGCUAGUAAUCGUGGAUCAGAAUGCCACGGUGAAUACGUUCCCGGGCCUUGUACACACCGCCCGUCACACCAUGGGAGUGGGUUGCAAAAGAAGUAGGUAGCUUAACCCUCGGGAGGGCGCUUACCACUUUGUGAUUCAUGACUGGGGUGAAGUCGUAACAAGGUAAGCGUAGCGAG
rnacentral:rRNA from 1 species